CAAAUUCGUGUCUGGGGGGAUA
rnacentral:miRNA from 14 species